rnacentral:rRNA from 1 species
AUCCGGGCUGAGGACAGUGUCUGGCGGGUAGUUUGACUGGGGCGGUCUCCUCCCAAAGCGUAACGGAGGAGCACGAAGGUUGGCUAAUCACGGUCGGACAUCGUGAGGUUAGUGCAAAGGCAUAAGCCAGCUUAACUGCGAGAGUGACGGCUCGAGCAGGUACGAAAGUAGGUCUUAGUGAUCCGGUGGUUCUGAAUGGAAGGGCCAUCGCUCAACGGAUAAAAGGUACUCCGGGGAUAACAGGCUGAUACCGCCCAAGAGUUCAUAUCGACGGCGGUGUUUGGCACCUCGAUGUCGGCUCAUCACAUCCUGGGGCUGAAGUAGGUCCCAAGGGUAUGGCUGUUCGCCAUUUAAAGUGGUACGCGAGCUGGGUUUAGAACGUCGUGAGACAGUUCGGUCCCUAUCUGCCGUGGGCGCAGGAAGAUUGAAAGGGGCUGCUCCUAGUACGAGAGGACCGGAGUGGACGCACCGCUGGUGUACGGGUUGUCAUGCCAAUGGCAUCGCCCGGUAGCUAAGUGCGGGAGAGAUAACCGCUGAAAGCAUCUAAGCGGGAAACUUGCCUUGAGAUGAGUCUUCCCUUGACUUAGAGUCACGGAAGGAACGUUUAAGACGAAGACGUGGAUAGGCUGGGUGUGUAAGCGCAGCGAUGCGUUGAGCUGACCAGUACUAAUGAACCGAGCGGCUUAACCUUACAACGCCGAAGGGGUUUUG